CCAAAGGCUCUUUUAAGAGCCACCCAAAAGGUUCUUAAAAGGGUGU
rfam:Camelus ferus unplaced genomic scaffold scaffold595, whole genome shotgun sequence.